UACGAAGGGGGCUAGCGUUGUUCGGAUUUACUGGGCGUAAAGCGCACGUAGGCGGAUCGUUAAGUCGGGGGGUGAAAUCCUGGAGCUCAACUCCAGAACUGCCUUCGAUACUGGCGAUCUAGAGUCCGGAAGAGGUGAGUGGAAUUCCGAGUGUAGAGGUGAAAUUCGUAGAUAUUCGGAGGAACACCAGUGGCGAAAGGCGGCUCACUGGGCUCGAUACUGACGCUGAGGUGCGAAAGCGUGGGGGAGCAAACAGGA
rnacentral:rRNA from 1 species